rnacentral:tRNA from 1 species
GGGGGAUUAGCUCAGUUGGGAGAGCGACGGCUUUGCAAGCCGUAGGUCAUCGGUUCGAACCCGAUAUCCUCCACUA